AGUAAGUUGGCAGAAUAGUGCAACCGACUUAGGAUCGGUUCAUGGUUAUAUACCACUUACUAC
rnacentral:tRNA from 1 species